UACUGGGCGUAAAGCGCACGCAGGCGGUCUGUCAAGUCGGAUGUGAAAUCCCCGGGCUCAACCUGGGAACUGCAUCCGAAACUGGCANGCUAGAGUCUUGUAGAGGGGGGUAGAAUUCCAGGUGUAGCGGUGAAAUGCGUAGAGAUCUGGAGGAAUACCGGUGGCGAAGGCGGCCCCCUGGACAAAGACUGACGCUCAGGUGCGAAAGCGUGGGGAGCAAACAGGAUUAGAUACCCUGGUAGUCCACGCCGUAAACGAUGUCGACUUGGAGGUUGUGCCCUUGAGGCGUGGCUUCCGGAGCUAACGCGUUAAGUCGACCGCCUGGGGAGUACGGCCGCAAGGUUAAAACUCAAAUGAAUUGACGGGGGCCCGCACAAGCGGUGGAGCAUGUGGUUUAAUUCGAUGCAACGCGAAGAACCUUACCUACUCUUGACAUCCAGAGAACUUAGCAGAGAUGCUUUGGUGCCUUCGGGAACUCUGAGACAGGUGCUGCAUGGCUGUCGUCAGCUCGUGUUGUGAAAUGUUGGGUUAAGUCCCGCAACGAGCGCAACCCUUAUCCUUUGUUGCCAGCGGUUCGGGCGGGAACUCAAAGGAGACUGCCAGUGAUAAACUGGAGGAAGGUGGGGAUGACGUCAAGUC
rnacentral:rRNA from 1 species